rnacentral:rRNA from 1 species
AACAUGAACUGGGCAAGAAAACCUGCUGAAUUUAAGCAUAUAAGUAAGUGGUGGAAAGGAAACUAAACAGGAUUCUAUAAGUAAUGGCGAAUGAAUAAAGAAGUUUUCAUUUUGAAAAUUGUGGUCUGUGAUCAUGAAUUGUAAUUUCAAAAUGMAUUGCUAACAAAAAUGCAAAUGGUGGUUUAUUGGAAAGAACAUGACAAAGGGUGAAAAUCCCAUGUGUCAUUUGUAUUUUUUGUGUACGGUGUGCAUUUAUUGAAUCACAUUCUUUGACAAUGGAAUGUAAAUUGGGUGGUAAAUUUCAUCUAAAGUUGAAUAUGUUGUUGAAACUUAUAGAAAACAAUUACCAUGAGGGAAAUAUGAAAAGGAUUUUGAAAAGAAAAUUAAAAGAGUUUGCAAUUGCUAAAUUGAUAAGCAAACAAAACAUAUCUGUGCGCAAGAUUGUYGUAAUCAUUUGUUGUCAAACACAUGUGUUACAAUGGUUUUUGUGUAUUUUGCCAAUAUCCAAAUUUGGAAUGAUCACCCUUGGGUAUGAUUGGAAUUUGGUUUGCUAGCCAAGGAAUGUAUCUUGAAAAAAUCAUCCUCAGUUUGAUACUUUGUUUUAUGACACAUGCAUUGCUCGCUUGAACAGCACCGUUGGAGCAAAUGCCCAAUGC